rnacentral:rRNA from 1 species
CCUACGGGGGGCAGCAGUGGGGAAUAUUGGACAAUGGGGGCAACCCUGAUCCAGCCAUGCCGCGUGUGUGAAGAAGGCCCUCGGGUUGUAAAGCACUUUCAGUGAGGAAGAACACCUGGUGGUUAAUACCCAUCAGGAAAGACAUCACUCACAGAAGAAGCACCGGCUAACUCCGUGCCAGCAGCCGCGGUAAUACGGAGGGUGCGAGCGUUAAUCGGAAUUACUGGGCGUAAAGCGCGCGUAGGUGGCUUGAUAAGCCGGUUGUGAAAGCCCCGGGCUCAACCUGGGAACGGCAUCCGGAACUGUCAAGCUAGAGUGCAGGAGAGGAAGGUAGAAUUCCCGGUGUAGCGGUGAAAUGCGUAGAGAUCGGGAGGAAUACCAGUGGCGAAGGCGGCCUUCUGGACUGACACUGACACUGAGGUGCGAAAGCGUGGGUAGCAAACAGGAUUAGAUACCCUUGUAGUC